UCCCUCUUAGCUCAGUUGGUAGAGCGCGUCACUAGUAUGCGCCCGGCAGUGGUCUAUGACGAGGUCAGUCGUUCAAGUCGGCUAGAGGGAA